rnacentral:rRNA from 1 species
AUGAACGCUGGCGGCGUGCCUAAUACAUGCAAGUCGAGCGAACAGACGAGGAGCUUGCUCCUCUGACGUUAGCGGCGGACGGGUGAGUAACACGUGGAUAACCUACCUAUAAGACUGGGAUAACUUCGGGAAACCGGAGCUAAUACCGGAUAAUAUAUUGAACCGCAUGGUUCAAUAGUGAAAGACGGUUUUGCUGUCACUUAUAGAUGGAUCCGCGCCGCAUUAGCUAGUUGGUAAGGUAACGGCUUACCAAGGCGACGGUGCGUAGCCGACCUGAGAGGGUGAUCGGCCACACUGGAACUGAGACACGGUCCAGACUCCUACGGGAGGCAGCAGUAGGGAAUCUUCCGCAAUGGGCGAAAGCCUGACGGAGCAACGCCGCGUGAGUGAUGAAGGUCUUCGGAUCGUAAAACUCUGUUAUUAGGGAAGAACAAAUGUGUAAGUAACUAUGCACGUCUUGACGGUACCUAAUCAGAAAGCCACGGCUAACUACGUG